AUAAGUCUUUAAAUAAAGGCCUAAGACCUGGCAAGAGAGGAGAUAUAAGGAGAUACAGGAGUUAAGAAGGAGAUACAGGAGAUACAGGAAAUACAGAGUUAAUAAGGAGAUACAGGACCAGACGAUGCCAGGCUGGACCAAUUAAGAAACUGCGUGAGUGUCUCUUCAUGGCUUCUCGUCCGCCGCUACCCCUUCAGGGAGCCCUGGACCCACCGGAGCGGGUCUCCAGCAAAAUAUGGGCUGCAGCUGCUGAAAAGGAAUCUGAUAUACACUAGCCUUACUACAUCGCUAAGAGUUUGACGUUGACCUCUUCUGGGUCUCAUGCCAAUCAAAGAUCACUUGCCCUGGAGGGAGUCAGCAGCCGUGUCACAAGGACGCUCUAGCAGUUCACAAAGACCCACACGGGGGUGGAACGAAGGCCUCCUGCCAACACCCAUUCCUGUGUGAUCCAUGUUGGAGGCGGUUAAUCUAGCUCGAGUCAAGCCUCCAGACGAUGCGGCCGCAGCUGAUAUCUUAACUACAACCUCAAGAAAGACCUUGAACCAGAGCCAUCCAGCCAAGCCGCUCCGACUUCCUGACCCAUGGAGCAGUAUGAGAUAAAAAUUCUUGUUUUAUGUGUCCAAGUUUUGGGAGUAAUUUGUUAUCCACAAAUAUUAUAUUAUAUCUAGAACUAACAUAUGAGAUAUUUUAUAACUAAUAUACCAUAGAUCCUGGUAUAGACACUAUAAAUAGUUGUUAAUAAGUCAAUAAGUAG